rnacentral:tRNA from 1 species
GGAGAGGUGCCGGAGUGGACGAUCGGGGCGGUCUCGAAAACCGUUGUGGCUCUCUGGGUCACCGUGGGUUCGAAUCCCACCCUCUCCG